UAGAGUUUGUUCUGCACUUCCAAGAGCCACCUGGUCCCAGAUUCUGCACAAAAAGGUUAGAAGCCCAGCAAGAGACAUCAAAGGUAAACACUGUGUCUUACAAGGUGUUUGAAGAUGCCUUCUUUAAAGCCACUAGUUGCCAGUGACAUUUACUGCACUUUGUCUCUUUACUUCACUCUCGCAUAAUUUUGGCUUUGAUUACGCCUCUGCAGAAAGAGAAGUGAACUUUUGUUAGAGGCGUUAUAGACAAUUUACAGUACCAUAUUCGAAUAUAUUUUUGAGGCAGUUCAUCAAGCAACAAUUCAUUUAGCAGUCUGGAAAAAUUACAAGUAAUUGGAUCCUUAGUGUUGAUUAGUAGCUGACAUUCUGUCUAAAAUUAAUCCUCAGGAUGAUACAGGAGGUCUCAGCUGGGAAUUUAGCUGCUUGAAAUUUGAGUAUUAUUUGGACCUAAAUUAAAGUGUUUUCUCAAAAACUGAGAAACUAAUACAAUUACAUCUUCUUGUCAAGCCGAGAUGUUAGAAGUAAUUCAGGUGCUUUGACUGCAGGCCAAAUCAAAGCACUUUACAAAGGAAUCAUGCAGCAUUAGUUGCUGAACAUGCACAGUGUUCAGCAACUUAAAGGGCAAAUAUAUUCAUGAGGACAUGUAAUCUUAUGCAUGUUUGGCAAAUGAAUAUGAAGAAAGUAUCUGUUAGAGGGGGAUCAGAAUACUGAAAAAAAACCUGUGGCUCACAUUCAGAUGGGCAGCUUGGAUGUUAUUCCAAUGCCAGAUUUCUGCAAGGAAGUUUCAAGAAUUCUCAUGAAAACUAAAGGGUAUACUUCAGCCUUGAGAAUUCAAAUAGGUGCUGUUGCUGCCAUAUGGCAGAGCUGCUUUCAAAGCAAAUACAGGGUUUUUGCUCUUCUGAAAGACCAGAUGGCAAAGAGCUUGGUAUCUAGAAGCUGCCUCACCUAGGUCAUCAGUAGCAGUCAAUUGUAUGGGACAAAAAGUAAUUUUAAUCUGGUAGCUUUUCAGUAGUUUAUCUAAACCACAAAUAAUGUAUGCCUUUAUUUCCCAAAUAGACAAAAUUUUAUAGUAAGAUCCUCAUGAUAUAUUAUACUUGUUCUUGUGCGAUAUUGACAAGUCAUAAUUUGAUGCACCAGAAAUGUGAAUUAUCCCUUUAAGAAGUGAUCCUUUCAUCUUAAAGGACUUAUCAGUAACUUGUGUAUUGUGCAAACCUUCCUGAGAUGUAGGAAAACCCAGACUCUAGCACCGCUGACCGAACGCCUUCUGAAAGCAUUACAACUACUUAAAGCAGGUACUUUUUACAUUGUUAGAGCAGGUGAGAAAAAAUUGCAACAUAGGAUAUCACCCAAACCUGAUCAUAAAUGCUGUAUUUGUGGUUUGUCUCCUAAUGAAGGCUCCAGAACAAGCUCCCACAGAAAUUGCAUGACAAGAUGUGACCAGACCUCAGUGAAGUUGUUAAAGUGUGUCUACAUUUGUACUUUAGUUCAGAGCAGUAGUGGAGUAAGUUCCCCAGCUGUCCCCAUUUACUGUGUGUUGGUGUGCAUUACAGUGAGCUGUCAAUAUACAGAAUCUGAAUUUCUUUUGGAUGAAGAUCUGCUCCAGAUGUCCACCUAAAGAACACCAAGACCUCAUUGGGAAUAGAAGGCUCCAAACCAGCAGGUUAAUGCACUGCCAUGAAAUUUUAUGGCAUGUGUGGAAAGUGCAUGCACCAGUAAAGUGCUCUUCAACCAGGUUGAGUCAUCUUGUGAUAACCCUGAAUCCUCCUUGUGCUAUGUAAAGGCAUUUGCACCUUCAGAGUUCCUGUCAGCUACCAGACCUCAGCUCUGAGAAUGGGUCUUCUUUAUCCCUCUGAGGCAUCCCCUCUAGAUUUUCAUCAAUAUAAAAAAAAGAGGAGAAAUUAAAUCAAUAGCAGACACAGUCAUUCUAAAAAUCAUCAGUUCAAAAUUUCAAUUAUUUUUUCCUUCUUGAAACAAAGCAUGUUUUCUGGGGUUUCCUUUUCAGUUAUGGAUUAGGCUUUCCUGGUUUGGCCAUUUGACAUGAGAAAUAAUUAUGCAAGGACAAAAAAGAAAAACAUUGAACAUGGGAAACAAACAAUCUUAACCUUUUUCUCACUAAAACAAAAGCAUCUGAUCUAAUCUGCUUCUGACAAUCUUAGUUGCUGACUUUCCUUUUGUUUAAUUUAAUUUCUCUCAGUUCUUCACACAGCCACAUCUUACCUCUUGGAGAAGUUUCAGGACUUCCUGUCUCGUUGUCCUACUUGAAAACCACACAGAUAGUAAAUAAUUUUGUGCAAGAACUGGGGAUGGAGCAAUUUUUUAUCAGUUCUUAGCAGGCCUUUGUGAUUGCCAUGGUACAGCAGUCAUGUAAUUUCUGCUGAUUGAUCUCCAUUGGUAUCCGCAGGCAUCUGUUGAAACAUAGGAGGAUAAUCAGAAUUCAUGUUCAACAGCCCAUCAAGCAUGCUUUAAGCUCUCCUCAGACCCAACUGCCAAACAUGUUACUGAAAGAGUGCCAAAAUAAAGAUGUAUUUGGCAUAAGGAAAGAAAAUACUGCCCAGUUGUGUAAGUACCUCUUUCUGAAGGCUGCAGCAUGCCUUAGAAAAGACUAAUUGCAGAUGGAAUUUGCACAGGCACUGUUCAAGGUAUAAGCCAUGGCCCAUGCCAUCUAUUCAAUACACACCUCACACCAGCACAGCAAAUGAAAGACACAGUAUAUUGAGGGUGUAUUGAUGCAAGUCAAUUCCCUAAACCAUGAAGACAAUUGGAUAGGUGAAGAUAAGAGUAUUUUCCAAUUGCUGCCUGAGAUCCAUCCAUCACAGGAACAAAAUCCCACUUUAGCUACACCUGGAAACUUAAUAUAAAUAAAGAAGUGCCAGUAGGUAACCAGGAAGUUAGUAUGUAAGGUUUAAUAAUUCUACACUGUAUCCUGGCCUCAGUCUCAAUCAUCUAUCCAUAAAGAUAGACUGGUUAAAACUAGCAUGGCUAACCAGCACGCAUACACUUUAUUCUCCCUCAGAGCAGACCUCAGGCUGCCUUGACAAGUAACAGAUGGGAUUUUACCUUCACUUGGACAAAGUUUCAGCAAGGCAAAAAACUGAUUUAGAAGCACUUUAAUAUGCUGCUCCAGCACCAUGCCUGCACAAUCUAUAUAACCAGCCUCCUAUCUGACUGCACUCUCCAGAACGAGCAAAGACAUAAGCUCCUCAAAUUAUCACUGUGACAGGCCAGAUUUCCUAUUACUUACAGAUAUCUAUUUCACCUAAUUUUUCAAAGACAGAAGCAUACUCAGUAUAAACUAAAUAUAAUAGACAUGAAAUAGUGACUCUUCCCGUAUGCAGGGGACAUGUGUAAUGAAAACAGGGGUUUAGGAGGCCAGGCUCGUUCUCCUGUCAACAGGCACUGGCCUGAGCAAGCCACAAGAGGGAGCGCAAACGCUGUUUGAAAAUGCAGCAAAGGGGAGGCAGAAGAGCCAGCUCCAGGCUGCGUUUGAUGCCAAGUCUGUUGCUAAUAACCUGCAUUCUAAUUUGUACUGAAAAUCAAUUUAAUUUCCUCUCCAGCUUUAAUGCGUUACAAGUAAUUCUUCAAUACUAAUCUGGUAAGGAGAGCGAGAAAGAGAAAAACUCAUUCAUAAUGUUUGGCUUGCACUGGAUAAAUGAGAAGCCAAGCCAGGUCAGAGCAGCAGGCAAAGUGGCCUUGGGUGUCAGACAAGUGGGACAAGGCGGAACCGCUUGCCUGCAGCAAAAGAAAGGGAGAUCAGCUGUGCUCUUCUCUCUCCUGCUUUUCAUCCUGCUCUAGCUGCCACAGAGGGAGGGACUUGAGCAUGUGCAAGUAGCAGUCCAACUCAAAAGGGGCACCUACUGCCAACCUUUAACAGCAGCAGGAGCUGGCAUCCCCACCCUCUGGGACUGUUCCAGCCUCACCGCCCUCCUCCUCUUUUUUCCUUUGUGAUAGACAAAAAAAUAAGGCUCCUUAACUGCGGUGAAAUAGGCUGUCAAAAGAAAUAAAAUACCUGACAAGAGAUAUUUUAAACCUGGGAUGUUUAUAUGUGGGUCAAAUAUGAGAUUGUGAAAUCUUCUACCAUCAUAGUCAGAUUUUUCUCAUCUCUUACCUCUGAGUAUUAUUCAGUGAAAUUCCAUUCUGGAGCGGAAGGUUGUUGAUAUAAGCCAAGGAUAAAUGUAGUCAUAAAGGCUGUUCUUUCUGGAUGGCUUAGCACAAUAUAGUGCUCAAAUAUCCAUUUCACUUAGCUGUUGCAGUAUUCUAGCACGAAAUAGCAGCAGGAUACCACUAUUACGUAAAGGACAGGAGCACAAAGGAUAAUGCAUGUGAAUACUGAUCUGCUGACUGAUGUAAUCAUUGUGAUAAAAGAUAAUGUGUAAGUAGUUUAAGACUUGACUCUUGUAUAAAGUCAGAUACAUGGAGCAUAAAACUAGAUGCUUCUGGAAGCUGAAAAAGGAGGAAGGUCACAAGGCUGUGGAGCAGAUCUAAACUCACAUCACACAGUUCCUUGCCUCCAUAAGACCCAGGUCAGCAGCAAAUGGAUAGCAGCAGUCAGUGGAUACAGCUUCAGGAUUCAUGGCUGCCCCAUAACACAGGAUGAGAAGGGAUCCUUCCUCAGCAUGAAAGGGAUGUGGAAAUGCCUCACAACAGAGUCUGGGACCAGCAGCUGCUGGGCAGCAAGUUAACCAAGGUUCCUGCAUUUGCAGGUUACAAAUAACAUCCUAGCUAAAUCAUCAUAUGUAUUUUUCCAGUAAUGCAUGAAAUCAAGAAACAUCAUUAAGAGAAAUUAAUUGGCUCUGAGGCUGUCAUGGUACUCACCACACCUGCCACUUCCCUUUGAUGACAGGAUCAUGAAAGUUCUUACCAACUAGUUUAUUUAAAAUCUUCAUAAAUAAUGUGUCCUUUUGCCCUUUGCACUUUCUCCCUCUCUUUCUUAGUUUGCAUUUCUGUUACUUUAGGAACAGCUAAUGGUCCAAAUGUUAAUGCUAACCAUCUUCCUCUUCCAUUCCCUGUAACGGGAGAGAAAGGUCCCACGAGUCCUUGCUAAACUAGCCAGUUGUGACAUCCCUAGAAUAGAACAAAGACUGACUUGAAUUUUUUAAGAGAGAUUUAAAAAAAUCUGUAAAUAACCUGGUGAUAUUAAAAGCCUCACUGCUACAGUGCUUAAGUUCUGUGUCAGGGUGUGAAUUUUGCAUCAGUGCUGCAGCCACCCACAGAAAAUAGUUAAGCUUAAGACGAGCAAACAGGACUGCAGCAUGCUAACUUCACAUGGGUACAUUUACAAAGCUAGUGAAGCUUUACGGGCUAUAACAAGUUAUCAUAAAUGUUUCACAAGAUUUAUCGUUUUAGGCCACCAAGUUAUGUAAAGUAGCCAAGAUAACAAUUUUACAACAAUAUUUAGUGUUUAGUUUUCAUAUAUUACAUAAUUGUUAGUGUGCUAUGUAUUUUAAUAAUCGUUGCACAUCAAUCAUUAAAAAUCAUAUAUUGUUGUUAAUUACUCAAAUUUGACCUUCAUAAAUCUUGGGUAUUUUUAGUUUAUAGACACUAUACUCGUUCCUUGUUCUUUACAAAGGUCAGCUGGAAUCCUGAAAUGCUAUUAUUUUCUCAGGAGAUAAUGCCAUUUCAAUAAUUCAAGCAGUACCUAACAAGUAACGAUACCAAACCAUCUCCCUCUUGGUGGGGGAAAAAGUACUUCACCGAGAACACAUUGAUAUAAAUAAAGUACAUUUAAUCACUCACUGAAGACUCAUUAUACAGAAAUCAUUAAAAUACCAAACAUUUUGUUAAAAGGAUGGAAUAAUGACAUGGAAUGCUAAUGUACAUCUUUCUCCAUUUGUAAAUAUGAAUGUGCAUAGAUGUAGUGAUCACUGACUGAAAACGUAGUUCUUGAAAUUGCAAUGAACAUGCUUCAGUAAGAGCAGAUAUCUGA